AUUGAACGCUGGCGGCAGGCUUAACACAUGCAAGUCGAGCGAGCGGCGGACGGGUGAGUAAUGUCUGGGAAACUGCCUGAUGGAGGGGGAUAACUACUGGAAACGGUAGCUAAUACCGCAUACCAUCAGAUGUGCCCAGAUGGGAUUAGCUAGUGGGUGGGGUAAUGGCUCACCUAGGCGACGAUCCCUAGCUGGUCUGAGAGGAUGACCAGCCACACUGGAACUGAGACACGGUCCAGACUCCUACGGGAGGCAGCAGGGGGGAAUAUUGCACAAGGGGCGCAAGCCUGAUGCAGCCAUGACGCGUGUGUGAAGAAGGCCUUGGGGUUGUAAAGCACUUUCAGCGAGGAGGGGGUAGGGGAAGAAGAAGCACCGGCUAACUCCGUGCCAGCAGCCGCGGUAAUAG
rnacentral:rRNA from 1 species